GACAGAGGGUGCUAGCGUUGUUCGGAAUUACUGGGCGUAAAGGGCGCGUAGGCGGCCUUCUAAGUCGGACGUGAAAUCCCUCGGCUUAACCGAGGAACUGCGUCCGAUACUGAAAGGCUUGAAUCCGGGAGAGGGAUGUGGAAUUCCAGGUGUAGCGGUGAAAUGCGUAGAUAUCUGGAGGAACAUCGGUGGCGAAGGCGGCAUCCUGGACCGGCAUUGACGCUGAGGCGCGAAAGCUAGGGGAGCAAACGGG
rnacentral:rRNA from 1 species